GGGCCUUUAGCUCAGCUGGUUAGAGCACCUGACUCAUAAUCAGGUGGUCGCUGGUUCAAGCCCAGCAAGGCCCA
rnacentral:tRNA from 1 species